rnacentral:rRNA from 1 species
GAGCUGAUGACGAGUCAUCUUUUAGAUGACGAAGUGGUUGAUGCCAUGCUUCCAAGAAAAGCUUCUAAGCUUCAGGUAACCAGGAACCGUACCCCAAACCGACACAGGUGGUUGGGUAGAGAAUACCAAGGCGCUUGAGAGAACUCGGGUGAAGGAACUAGGCAAAAUGGCACCGUAACUUCGGGAGAAGGUGCGCCGGUGAGGGUGAAGGACUUGCUCCGUAAGCUCAUGCCGGUCGAAGAUACCAGGCCGCUGCGACUGUUUAUUAAAAACACAGCACUCUGCAAACACGAAAGUGGACGUAUAGGGUGUGACGCCUGCCCGGUGCCGGAAGGUUAAUUGAUGGGGUUAGCUAACGCGAAGCUCUUGAUCGAAGCCCCGGUAAACGGCGGCCGUAACUAUAACGGUCCUAAGGUAGCGAAAUUCCUUGUCGGGUAAGUUCCGACCUGCACGAAUGGCGUAACGAUGGCGGCGCUGUCUCCACCCGAGACUCAGUGAAAUUGAAAUCGCUGUGAAGAUGCAGUGUAUCCGCGGCUAGACGGAAAGACCCCGUGAACCUUUACUAUAGCUUUGCACUGGACUUUGAAUUUGCUUGUGUAGGAUAGGUGGGAGGCUUUGAAGCGUGGACGCCAGUUCGCGUGGAGCCAACCUUGAAAUACCACCCUGGCAACUUUGAGGUUCUAACUCAGGUCCGUUAUCCGGAUCGAGGACAGUGUAUGGUGGGUAGUUUGACUGGGGCGGUCUCCUCCUAAAGAGUAACGGAGGAGUACGAAGGUGCGCUCAGACCGGUCGGAAAUCGGUCGUAGAGUAUAAAGGCAAAAGCGCGCUUGACUGCGAGACAGACACGUCGAGCAGGUACGAAAGUAGGUCUUAGUGAUCCGGUGGUUCUGUAUGGAAGGGCCAUCGCUCAACGGAUAAAAGGUACUCCGGGGAUAACAGGCUGAUACCGCCCAAGAGUUCAUAUCGACGGCGGUGUUUGGCACCUCGAUGUCGGCUCAUCACAUCCUGGGGCUGAAGCCGGUCCCAAGGGUAUGGCUGUUCGCCAUUUAAAGUGGUACGCGAGCUGGGUUUAGAACGUCGUGAGACAGUUCGGUCCCUAUCUGCCGUGGACGUUUGAGAUUUGAGAGGGGCUGCUCCUAGUACGAGAGGACCGGAGUGGACGAACCUCUGGUGUUCCGGUUGUCACGCCAGUGGCAUUGCCGGGUAGCUAUGUUCGGAAUAGAUAACCGCUGAAAGCAUCUAAGCGGGAAACUAGCCUCAAGAUGAGAUCUCACUGGAACCUUGAGUUCCCUGAAGGGCCGUCGAAGACUACGACGUUGAUAGGUUGGGUGUGUAAGCGCUGUGAGGCGUUGAGCUAACCAAUACUAAUUGCCCGUGAGGCUUGACCAUAUAACACCCA